rnacentral:rRNA from 1 species
UACGUAGGGUGCAGGCGUUUAAUCGGAAUUACUGGGCGUAAAGCGUGACGCAGGCGGUUUGCUAAGACAGGUGUGAAAUCCCCGGGCUUAACCUGGGAACUGCGCUUGUUACUGGCAGGCUUGAGUGUGGCAGAGGGGGGUGGAAUUCCGCGUGUAGCAGUGAAAUGCGUAGAUAUGCGGAGGAACACCGAUGGCGAAGGCAAUCCCCUGGACCUGUACUGACGCUCAUGCACGAAAGCGUGGGGAGCAAACAGG